rnacentral:piRNA from 1 species
UGUUGGAUUAUGUGCUUUCAUGUGCAUUG